GAUGAAGAACGUAGCAAAAUGCGAUAAGUAAUGUGAAUUGCAGAAAUUCCGUGAAUCAUCAAAUCUUUGAACGCACAUUGCGCCUUCUGGUAAUCCGGAAGGCAUGCCUGUCUGAGCGUCAUUGCUGCCCUCAAGCACGGCUUGUGUGUUGGGCCCCGUCCUCCGAUCCCGGGGGACGGGCCCGAAAGGCAGCGGCGGCACCGCGUCCGGUCCUCGAGCGUAUGGGGCUUUGUCACCCGCUCUGUAGGCCCGGCCGGCGCUUGCCGAUCAACCCAAAUUUUUAUCCAGGUUGACCUCGGAUCAGGUAGGGAUACCCGCUGAACUUAAGCAUAUCAAUAAGCGGAGGA
rnacentral:misc_RNA from 1 species